rnacentral:rRNA from 1 species
UACGAAGGGGGCUAGCGUUGCUCGGAAUCACUGGGCGUAAAGGGUGUGUAGGCGGGUCUUUAAGUCAGGGGUGAAAUCCUGGAGCUCAACUCCAGAACUGCCUUUGAUACUGAAGAUCUUGAGUUCGGGAGAGGUGAGUGGAACUGCGAGUGUAGAGGUGAAAUUCGUAGAUAUUCGCAAGAACACCAGUGGCGAAGGCGGCUCACUGGCCCGAUACUGACGCUGAGGCACGAAAAGCGUGGG